UCAGACGGGGACAAUAUCAGCAAUGUGAGAAAGGUCCAACCUCACAUGUCCUGUGAGGCUGAAGGAAGGCUGUGUGAGGUUAGACCUAUCCCACACGGCCCGUAUUCUUCCCUGCACUGA
rnacentral:precursor_RNA from 8 species